AAGGGGGUUUCUCCGAAGUUCACUUCCUCCAUUCCUGUUAAGAAAAACAAACUAAUAGGAUGAGCCAAUACUCAGUGAGGCCAAGAAACACACAUGCAAACACAUAAUCCAAGUAGCCGCAAAUUACAUAGUAAGUAAAGCUAUAAAGUUUGAAUAAUUCACAUUUCAAAUAGGAAAAAUAAACAGAAACAAUUCAAGGAUACUGUAGCUCUCAGGAGCUAAAUUCCACGUAGUCGAGUCAAAGUUUUGAUCACAUCUCACGUUGACACUCCGUCAACCACAUAAGUAUCGAAUCCGUAGAUACACCACUUUUCUUCGAAUUCCGUCACCGUUACACCCCCUUACCGGGCCGGCUCAUCAAAAUUUUUUUUUUGAUAAUACUCGAGUAUAUCAUGGCAAUACUGCACGAGUAAUGCCGAGCAAGAUCUCUCUAAUAGAUCAUGCUCUACGAAUAUCUCAUGGUUUGCUAAGCUUGUCGACCAAGCCCAUGCUGGCCCGAUUCGCAAAGUUAGCCAAUGAGUUUGGGCGUCUCCCGAAUACGAAUACGAAUACGAAUGUAAAUACGAAUAUGGAUAUAAGUCGAUGAGCAACGCUCAAAUCGACGAUUCCAAAUAGGAAUCACAAAUACGGAUCACAUAUAUGAAUCACAAAUACGAAUCACAUCCACAUUACUAUGUACAAGUCGAAUAUGAAUUCACAUAACAAAAUUCAAAUAUAAUUUCAUUCGAAAGAGAGUGAGUGCGAUAAACUACACACUCAUCUCAAAUUUUCAAAUUCACAUAAUGGAUAAGAACCAAUUAACCAUUUAGCAACAAAUUCAUGCACUUGACACUCACAGUGAUUCAAGUAGCAAGUUCAAAUGAUGGUUUAGGCGUCUCCCGUGAGAUCCUCUAGAAGGUCCUCUUGAGCGCCUGAGCAUUUAAUAAUAAACUAUGACUUAUACAUCCCAAUUAAUAAGGAAGAUUGUACCCUUGUACAAUCUAAGAAAAUUUCACGAGAAUGAGCCUUAAUUACGCGUAAAUCGAGACUCAAAAGUGAGGUUUUAAAACACAAGCAAAAUCUGAUUUUCAUCCUUGAAAUCGAGUGUAAAACGAUCCAGUGAUAUCAAAGGAAAAAGAGAGUUUGCAAAACUCUAUUUCCUUGAAGUUAGAAAUUUUCAGAUUUGUUACACUUACUUUGAAAAAUCGUAUCUCACUCAUUAGAACUCCAAAAUUGGAAAACUUGGUACCGUUGGAAACUUCUUCCAAAGUAUAAAAGUUCCUAGAAUACACUUUUCUAAGAUUCCAAAUAAAAACCAUUCAAAAAAUGAGCUCAAAGUUGCUGUUUUGGUUCAUAAGGCAGAUUUAAGUUGGUUUUUGGCCAACUUUGAAAAUUCGGCAAAAUUCACUUGAUUGGAACUAGCCUUUGAAAUUUGUAAAUAUAUUAGAGUUGUAAUCCAAGUUUACAACAAAGCAAGCAGAAUGAGAAACGGAGUUUUGAGCACCAAGAUAUGGUAGCUCAAAUUUACCCAAAUUUCCUAGUCAAACAAGGGUUUUCCAAAAUCAAGUCUUGAACUUUGGUAAGUUAGUCGAGCAGUGAAAUGGACUCGGAUUGGUACCAAAUUUGGAAGUAUAAUACUCCUAUGUGAAGGGUAUCUCUCUAUCAAAUUUCAUGGAAAAAUACCUUCGGGAAGGUAGUCAACUACACACCUAAAAUUUCGAAAAAUUCUAAGGCAAAUCUGCCUUGAACUUUUUGUUUUCCCAUUCCAAACAUUUGGCCACAGAAAAUCCUUCAAACAUGAUUCAUUUGUGUAGGAAAAGCCUAAGUAACAUUCAUGGUACACUUGGUAAGUGUUUUAACUCCAAGAAAUUCAAUUAACAAGUCCACACCAAGUCUAGCAUUAAUUUUGCCCAAAAUUUAGGGUUUUCAAGAACAAGGCAAUUUUCGUAUUAUGAUCACAACUCACUCAAUUCAACUUAGAAUUGAGCAUGGUUAGUGGCUUUGGAAAGCUCUUUCAUAAGGCUAGAAUUUAUUAGAAGAAAUAAUUUUCAAAUUCCAUUCAAAAACAGCUUGUUUUUGAGCAUCAAGAUACGAGUCCUGUCCUAUCUCCUGGAGAGAAACGAAACAGGACAGUGAUUUUCAAUCGAAUGGUGUGGCUCACUCAAAUGGAACCAGAACAUGCAUUUGGUACCAAUGGAAAUCUGGUAAUGUCUAGUUUCAAACGCCACUGACGGCACUCAAUUUUGACGUCGGGGCACCGAGUUAUGAACAAAACAAGAGAGCUGCCUGAGUAUUACGGGAACAGUUUCCAGGUCUGCUACCUUCACGAAAAUAAUUCAUUUGACCAACCAAACCUCAAUAUUUUUCAAUGAAAUUUUGUACACCAUCUAUACAACAUAUAAACAUUAUAUACAAGCCAUUAAACUCUCAAAAUUCUGCAGAAAAGGGUACGUUCAAAGCAGGGGCAGAAUCUGAAUUUUUUUACUCCAUGCACUCCUUGAAGUUUCUUCUAGUUAUGCAACAUUAAUCUACCAUUUUGAGCACUAAAUCAACAUUAGAUCCAUCAUCAAGCAUGAGAUCAGUCCCCAAGACAAAGGUGGGAGUUCAUAGAGCCCACCCAUUUCAUUUUGCACCAUAAACAAGCUAACCAAAGGCAUGCUAGAGCUUAAUCAUGCUAUAUGACUUCCAAAAGACAAGAUUCUAUGAGUUGAUCAUCACUUACCUCUUUAGUGUGCAAAAAACCAGAAAUUUCGAUCUCCCCUUUGGCCAAGAAAAACCGUGAAAGCUUCCCCUUUUUGUAACUCAAGAUGAUCCUCUAGUGUAGAGCUAAGUGCUGUGAAAAUUUGGUGCCAAAUGGUGCAAGUUUGGUGAUGUUUUUGUGCAAGAAAUAAAGAGGAAAAAUGGAGAAACUUUGUGUUGUUUGUUGCAGCUGAAGUUCGGCUGUCUUAGUGAGGAAGAGAGAGGGAAUUUUGGUCUAAAUGAGGCUUCCAAAGGAAGCUUCAAUGUGUGGUUAAAAUUCGUCCAAAAGUCAACUCUCCUUCGCGCGUAUACGCGCGCGUUUUGUACUCGAUUCCUCUCGGGUUUAUUUCACUAGUGCACUAAACCUCUAAUGCACUUAUAUUCAUAUAAAUAUUAUUCACUCUUAAAUUGUCCCAAAAUAAAGGUCUAAAGUCCCUCUAUUAAAUCGCGCGCGUGAAAACGCGUAUCUCCACUUUAAGUGCGAUAGAGUGAAAUUUUCGAGAAAUUCUUAUAACGAUCGUACUACUAACUAUCACUUGAGUACUUAAAUCUAAAAUUACCUAUUUUAGGACCAUUGUACAUGUCUCCAAUUUCUCAAACUUAUUGUACCCUCAAUCGGUUAAAAUUUUCGAAUACGUUUUCACUAUUUUCAUUAAUCGAACUUCCAAAAAUUAAUUUUUGAAACGAGUCAUUUUAAAAAUAUAAUAAAGCCAUAAUUCCAUGUAUUUAGCUCUAAUAAGGUUAGAAAAUAAUAAUCGGUGCAUUUGGCCGAGUAAAUAAUUAAAUAAGCUAGAAUUGGGAGUUAAAAUAGAUAAAUUGUAAGUCUUUACAAUGAGCACUCUCUGUCUAAUCUUAUUUCAACAUUUUUUCUUUCUUUACACAGUGUGAGAUGAGUUCAUUCAGAGAACAUGUCUUCUUUUGAAAGUUGUAAGUCAUCUUAAAUUAAUUAAACCGUGUAGGAAGAGAAUCAAAAUUAAAUGUACUAGUAACUCUUCAGAGAGUAGUAACUUAAGUGCAUUUAAUUUCGAAACAAGAUGAGACAUUUCUAUGAUAUACUCUCUAAUAUUACCUUUUUCACUAUAUUUUAUUGAAAUUAGGCAGGUCAAGAGUGUACUUAUUUCAGUCUUUUCGUUCUUAACAAAGCUUUUUUCAACGUCCUGAACGAACUUCUUAGCGGUAGCUGUCGUUUCUAAUAUUGUUCCUUUGAAUCCUUUUGGAGCGACAUUUUUAAUGAUUAUCAAGCACAAAUAAUUUGAUCACUCCCACCUUUUCUUAUCCCUCUUUUUAUCAGAGGUACUUUAAUGUGUAAGAGGUGGAGGAGAAUCAUCCCCUAACACAAGAUCGAAACCAUUACUAUGAUGAUCCCACAUCCCCUUAGGGCGUACCCAAGAGUUUGACAAACCAUUCGCCUAGAUCUCAUCAGGUCUCAUGCAUAAGUCCUAAUAUAAUACAAGAAUCUCAAUAACAAAAAGCAAUAACAAUUUCGAAAUUUAGAUAUAUACAUUCAUGGUCACCAAGUUUCCAUACAGACUUAUAAUAUACUAAGAGAUUCAAACUCAAAUCAAACUACUGAAACUAGAAGAACGCUAGAACAAAAAACAAGGGAUCUAGACCAAAACACUAGUUUUCUCCAACUCACAUUCCCACAUUUUCGUCCCCUGUAAGGAAAACAAACUAACGGAAUGAUCUAUCGUCUAGUGAAGUUCCAAAAUAACAUACAAACCAAGUAGCAAGUUGACAGUUACAUAUAUUUCAAUCUCAAACUGAAGAAAGUUAAUGUUCACAAGAUAAGUCAGUAAUAUUUCAAGUAAACGAGUCAGAUAAGCAUUAACAUUUUCAUACAUAAGGAUACAAUUUGUUCUUGCGAGCUAGUUAAGCAAAAACUUGAUUAGGAUCCGUUGACACUCCAUUAACCAUGGAAAUAUAGUAACAAAUUUAGUAGAAUACCACUUAUCUCCAAUCUCCAUCCACCGAUCAACCCUCUACCAAACCUGAACUCCAAAGAUAACAAUGAAGGUAAUACUCGAAUAUACCAAAUUCAAUGGAUCGAAUUGAGUGAAAUAAAUAGUAAAUAGUACCCAUGGUUCAUCAAUCUCCUCGACCAAACUCUUGUUGGCUAGAUUCAACUAACUAGUCGAUGGGGUGUGGGAUCCCGAACAGUUACUUUCAAGUCAUGUACAUAAAUAUCAAUUCACAUGCAAAUAGUGCAUAGUACUUUAGUCAAGUUAGAACAAGUGCGAUAAAGUACACACUAUCCCAACCAAACAAGUCAAAUACUGUCCAAUCACAACAAGAGAGCAUUUUAAUCAAAUGGCAAGUUCUACCAUGCAAUUUGAAACAUUCAUACCAUGCAAUUUGAAACAUUCAUCAAACCAAUUAAAAUCUAGCAAAUCCAAGCUCAAUCUUUACUUCCUGACCACUUUGGAAAUCUGUGAUCAGAUAUUAUAUAGUAAGAAAUUAUCAAAUUUCCAACAUAGAGGUUCAAAAAUCACAUCUAGUACUUGUGAAAAUUAAUGAAAAAAAUCACGUAAAUGUAGCUCACUAUUAUAGGCAUAACAUGGAGCAAAAAUAGGUAAAAUGUAGACAUGACUUUUUGAAGCAAAGUGACAAAAUCUUGAGUUUAAAACCAGACACUUCCGACUAUAAAAUAUUUUUGGGCAAACAACAUUUUUCUUCUCUUAAAUCGCUUGGUUUUAGUUAAAAUCCAAUCUAUGUGUGAAAAUCAAGGUGUUCUUAAGUAACUUUGAGUAAAGUAGGUCCAAAUCACUCUAAACUUACCUCUCAACUCUUACUCUCUCUCACUUGACCAACAAGUGAAAAUUUCAGCAGCAUCUUCCCCAAAUUUCUCAAGUUAACCUUCCAAUUCAAACCCUAUUUUCAUGGCAAAAUCACUAAUAAUUAAGAUAACAUAUCAUAGCGUAUACAAUGCAUGUUCUAGAUAAGAAAAUCUAGCAAAAUUUUACAUAUAUAAAGUUCUAAAUUAAACUACAUAUAUCUUGCAUCAAAGGUGGAAAUUUCAAUAAAACUUACCAAAAUCAUGAAAUCUCCAUAAGCGUGCUUCCUUUAACUUCUUUUGCUUCAUAUAUUGGAUAAAUUUCAAGAUACAAAUAGGAAAGAGAUGGUUCCUAGCACUUUUACCUCAAAUUUUAAGAUGGAAUGCAAAUCAAGAGUUUUUUUCUCCAAGAUUUCACCAAAAGCUUUCUUCUGCAAUAGCUUUAAGAUCUACAAAAUAGAUUAGGGUUUCUCUUUGAUUUUCUCACCAAUCAAGCAAGAAAUCAAGGCUUGAAAAUUGAGUUUUUCUAUCCUUUUUCCCCCUUUCAAAUUUUGUCCACUAUAAGAAGAGAAAGAAGAAAAAUGGUGAUGAAAUAAAAGGUUUGGUUUGGAUAGGGAUGAACUUAUUCUUGAUCAAGACUUUGUAGAUGAGUGACACGUUACAAAAUUUGGUUCAUCUCUAUCUUUUUGUCUCUUGUUUUUGUUUUUAAUCGCUAACAUAUCUUGUGUUCCACCAAUUAACUCUUAACAUCUUUUGUCACACAAUUCCCUUUACACAAAACUCCUUCUUGUCUACCAAAUUUAUAGUUGAUCACACUAAUAUAAUAUAUUACGAAACUUAACAUGCACCAAUUUUAAUAAGGAAAAAGCCUAAAAAUCAUGACUCAACUAUUAAAACAGCCAAAAAAUUAAGGCAAGUAAAUCAAAAUAAAUAAAAUAUAAAUUAACUUAAAAAUAUAAGAAAAUAUAAAAUAACUUUUGGGUUCUCGCUCUCUCCCUCUUAAAAGAAUUUUGAUAUCGAAAUUCUUACCUUUACUUACAAACAACCCGGGGUAUUUCUUCAUAUCCUUUUUUAAUUUCCAGGUUGCUUCUUCUAUUUCAUGAUUUUUUGCACAGAACUUUGACCAAGGAAAUUCGCUUAUUAUUCAGUUCCUUCACCUUUUGAUCCAAGAGUCAAAUAGGUUGUCUUCAUAAGUUAGAGACUCGUCAAUCUUGACAUCCUUUGAUUGAAGUAUAUAAGUCGGAUUUGGAUGAUAUUUCUUAAGCAAUGAAACAUGAAAAAAUUAUGAAUUUGAGAUAAACUCGUUGGUAACUUCAAUCGAUAUGCCAUCUUUCCUACUCAUUGGAGAAUUUUGAAGGGACUUAUAUAUCUCAGUUUAAGUUUCUUUCCUUUUUUGCCUUGAUACUGCCUUUUAGUGGAGUGAUCUUAAGAAAUGUUUUAUCUUCAAUUUCAAAUUUUUAAUUCUUUUCGAUUAUCUGCAUAGUUCUUUUGUCGAUUUUAGAUCGUUUGAAGUUUUUGACAGAUUAGUUUCACCUUUUGGUAUGUUUUCUCAACUUAUGGUAUUGCUGUCAAGUCCAGAACUUUUUUCUCUCCUACUUGAUCCCAGUAAAUUAGUGAACGACACUUUUGCCCAUAAAACGCUUCAUAUAGUACCAUUUGAAUAAAAGCAUAAUAACUAUUGUUAAAGUAAACUCAACCAAUGUCAUGUAUUAGCUCCAAUUUCCUUUAAAAUUCAUGAUACAUGAUCUCAACAUAUCCUCAAAGGUUUGAAUGGUUCUCUCCGAUUGUCCAUCUGUUUGGGGAUGAUAUGUUGUAUUAAAAUUCAACUUAAUCUCUAAAUUUUCUUAUAACUUUUGCCAAAAUCGGGAUACAAAUCGUGGAUUUCUAUCGGACACUAUAUUCACCUAUAUCCAUGUUAUCUCACAGUCUCAUCCACACAUAAUUUAGCGAGUUUCUCCAAGGAAUACUUCAUAUUAACUGGUAAGAAAUAUGGCAACUUAGUUAAUCGAUUCUCUAUCACUCAAACUGUAUCAUAACCCCUUUGAAUUCAUGGCAAACCUAACACAAAAUCCAUCGUAAUGUGUUCCCAUUUCCACUCAAGUAUUUCAAGAGGUUGCAGCAAUCCGAAAGGUUUCUGAUAUUCAGUUUUAACUUCCUGGUAAGCAAAACAUGUUUGGACAUAUUGGAUAAUCUCCAUUUUCAUAUUGUCCCACUAGUAUAAUUAUUUUAGAUCUCGGUACAUCUUGUCACUAACAAAAUACACCGUAUAUCUGAAAUGGUGAGCCUCUUCCAAAUUUUCUUUUCUAACUCUUCAUUCUUUGAUACCACGAUUUCAAAACCAUAAAAUUUCAUCGGGACCAAUAUUAAAAUUGGGUAACUCUCUUUUUUGCACUUUCUCCAGUCAACCUUACAUUGUCGGUUCCUUUUUCUAAGCCUUUUUAAUACGUUUCAAUAGUGUCGAUUUCACUGUAAUAUUUUCAAAGAUGACUUUUUUGUCGCUCGAGAUACGGGUUCCAUUCACUAAUGUCCUCUAACAGGUUCCACUCCUUCAUCAUUAAUCCUGUUAGUUGAGCCUUUCAGCUCUGAGUAUCGACACUAUAUUGGUCUUUUCAAGAUGGUAAUUGAUGGUACAUUUAUAAUUUUUCAAAAAUUUCAUCCACCAACGUUGUCUCAAAUUCAAUUCUUUUUGGAAAAAUAGAUACUUAAGACUUUUAUAAUCUGUAUACACCUUAAAGAUCACCUCUUAUAAAUAAUGUCGCCACUUUUUUCAAAACAAAUACAACAAUUACAAGUUCUAAAUCAUGAGUCAAAUAAUUUUACUUAUGAGGUUUUAACUUUCGAGAGGCAUAGAUAAUUAUGUUUCAAUUUAUAUUAAUACACACCCUAAACUUUUCUUCGAAACAUCUGUAUAUACGAUGAAACUAUUCUGUUCAUUUGACAGAGUUAAUACUGGCUCCAUGGUCAAUCUUUUUUUCAACUCUUGAAAGUUGAUUUCACAUCUGGUGUCCCAGAUAAAUUUAUCAUGCUUUUUCAUCAAAUCGGUUAAAAGUCCUGCAAUUUUUUAAAAAUCCUUUAUAAAUCACCAAUAAUACUCUGGUAGACCCAAGAAAAAAUAAAUCUCAGUAGAAUUCUCUGAUUGUUUUCACUUGGCAACAGUUUCUAUUUUAACCAAAUUCACAGUGAGUCUAUCUUUCGAAAUUAUAUGAUCUAGAAACGAUAUUUUCUCUAAUCAAAAUUCGCAUUUACUAAGUUUAACGAACAAUUGAUGCUCUCUUAGGGUUUGUAAUACUAUACUCAAAUGUUGCUCAUGUUCCUCCGUAGUUUUUAAGUAAAUCAAAAUAUUAUCAAUGAAUACCACUAUGAACUGGUCUAAAUAGAGUUUAAAAAUCCAAUGCAUUAAAUUCAUGAAUGCUAUUGGGAUAUUGGUUAAUUCAAAAGGUACCACUACAAACUCAUAAUAUCUAUAUCGAGAGUUAAAAACAGUUUUAGCACAUUCUCUUUCUUAAUUCUUAAUUGAUAGCAUCCUUGCCUAAGAUUCAAUUUAAAGAAUACCAUGACUCCUUGCAAUUGGUCAAAAAAUUCAUUAAUGUGGUGCAAAAGAUAUUUAUUCUUAAUAGUCACCGCAUUUAAACCCCGAUAAUGGAUGCACAAUCUUAAACUCCUAUCCUUCUUUUUGACAAAAAACACUAGAACUCCGCAAGAAGAUUCACACUUCUGUAUGAACUCUAGCUUUAAUAAAUCUUGUAAUUGCAAAUUCAAUUCUUUAAAUUCGACAGGUGCCAUCCGAUAAGGAGUCUUAGAAAUAGGGGUGGUUUUAGGUGUCAUAUCAAUUUUAAAUUCUAUCUCUCUCUCAGGAGGCAAUGACACUAGUUUAUUAGAAAAAAAUCUGAAUAAUUGUUUAUCACCGGUACAUCCUUCAGUUCACCUUAUCUCCCAGGAUGGUGACUAGAGAGAUUAGAUACUCUUGUGCUCCCUUACUCAAUAAUUUUGAAGUCUGAAUUCUUGAAAUAAGAGCAAAUGAAGCUAAAGUAUCCACCACGUCUAACUUUAAGGUCGCUUCACCUAAUAUGUAAAACUCAACCACUUCCGUUCUGCAAUCCAACUGAACAUAAUAUCUGGUUAACCAAUCUAUUUCUAUAAUUAGUUAUAAAGUCUACUACCAAUUUUCACUCACCAAUCCAAACCCCACAGUUUCUAUAGACUGCAUUAGCAAGUAAACACUGGUCAUCUAUGGAUGUUCUCAAUUCUAAAUCAUAUGGUAGUCUCUCGAUUUUCACAUCAAUUUUACACAUAAAAGUAGGAUUUACAAAGGAAUAGAUUGUAUUAGGGUCUAUCAAAAUCUUAGCUAAAUGGUGAAAAAUAGGGAUCGUGUCUUCUACCAUUUCAGAUGAGUCGAACACUUGUUGUUGGUCUAGCACUAUACUCUGGUGGGCUUUCUUGGUUUGUUCUCUCCUACAGUUAGUUGUUUAGAGUUUGAUCUAUCAGAAAGUUAGGUCUUACUCCCCUCUUGAGGUGUGAGUGGGUAGGUAACAAUCUGGUACUCGGUACUCUCGCAUUGUAAGUACUUCCGUGCCUUUAACCAACAAUUAUUUUUGGAAUGAUUUGACUUUCUGCAAAAUCCACAAGAUAAACGGGAAGUCGAUGCUUGGUCUACUUGUGAGGCACCUUUCUAUUAUCCUCUUCCACGUUGGGCUCCUCUUGGAGAAAUUCCUCUGGGUGCUCCCGAAAGUCUCACAUCACCGACCCUUCUUCCUACCUUGAGAGUCGGUAUAUUUCGAUCACCUUACCUUUGUCCGAGACUACUACUAGGCACAACUUUUUUCCUUAUAUGAAAAACCUUUACCUAUGCUCUCGCGUGUUCGAUCCUUUUGGCCUUUUCAAGAGUUUCCAUAAAUGUAUUGAUUUGAGCCACUGCCAAAGAUUUCUAGAUUUUCACAUUCAACCCUUGCACAAACAGUUUCUUUCUUCUGCUUCGUAACUACUAGUUUAGAAGCAAAUUUAGACAAUUUAGUGAAUUAAGUUCACAGCAUCUGAUAAAAUUAGAGUUCCCUGAUACAGUUUGAUAAAAUUAUCCUCUUUUUUUUCUUAGAUUAAGGGUAGGAGAUAUUUCUCAUUGAACUCCUUUGCAAAGUUGAUUCAAGUCCACAACAUCUGUAAUCUCUCCAACUUUGCCCUAAUAACGUUUCAUCAUGCCUGGUCCUAUUCUCCAAAUUGAAAGACAGCGAACAUCACAUGUUUCUCCUUCGUAUAGUGCAGGGCUACCAAAAUAUUAAUUAUUGUCUCUAAACAGUUCUUGACUGCCUCAGGGUCAAGUCCUCCAAAAUAUUUAGGUGGAGAAAAUUUCUAGAAAUGCUCUAGAGCUCUAUCUUUUCUUACCUCAGGGUUCUUAGGCUAGUUAAUAGGCGUUUGACCCUGUUGCUCUAAUAAACGUGCUAAAAUAUUGAUUAUUCGUUGUAUAAUUGUCGCUACUUGGUCAUCUACUUCGGUCCUCAGUUCAUGACUUUGCUCAACUGUCGCUUCUCUUUCAUUUCUUUGUUCUUGUUUCUGUUGUUGUCUAGGCUUACGUGUACAAUUUCGUCUACUAUCCAUGCCUUUUUUAAAAAUAGGGUUAUAUAUACAUAAGAAAGAAUACAUAGAGUUAUAAAUAUGUAAGCAGAAAGAAAUUGUCAAAUAAUGAAACCGAAGAUCACGAAACACACUUAGUAUGUAUAACACAAAAGUUCAUAUCAUAAUCACUGAAACCAGUGCACAAAAGUAUUGUACAUAUCAACCUUAACAAAGUCAAGUACACAUAGCAAAGUCAAGUAUUGUACACAUUAACCUAAACACGUCGAUAACAAAAGCAAAACCAAAAUUGUGACAUGUCGAUCCAUCUACCCUAUCUCACGACCUGCAGCCCCAAUUUCCUAAGUCUCAAACUUAGUUCAUCACCGAACUAGCUGAUUUCAUUUCUCCCUCAGGUGCAACUUUCCUUUCCUCAAGUUCAAAGUCAGAUUCAUUAGACACUAUAUUUGCUUGACCUUUCUCAGCUAAGUUCACUUGUACCACCUCGUUAACAAGCAUCCCACACUAAGCUAAAAUAUUCUCCGUUUAGUCUAUCACUUCUCUUACCGCCCGAACAAAACGACCAUUGAUAUCCUACACUUGUUCUCAAAAAGCAUUAGUCCGCUCUGAUUCCUCGAGAAUAGAGGUUUCAAGCUUUCGAAUUCUAUCCCCUUACAUUCUUAGCAUUGCUCUCGAGCAUUGUGUAAUGACCUCACCUUUCCCUAGGGGGUACCCCAGGGAUUAGCGAACCGCCUAUCCAACUCUCAUUAGGACUCACUCACUCACUCACUCACUUCAAGAAAAUAAAUUGCAACUUCGAAAGAAAAAAAAACAAUAAUUCCAAACUUAAAACGUACACUGAUGCUUAAGUUAAGCUCCAAGGCUCAUAUAUUCCCGAAUAUCUCUAAAUAUUUAACAUUCCAGAUAUAUUCAACCCUAAUCGAGCACUAGCGCGGUACAAUUGUAAAAAUUUAAAAACACUAGACUAUGCUAGCCUGUACUAGUCUCACGCCCUCGCUCGUACCUCCUGUAAGGAAAACAAAUUUAACGGAAUAGAGUGAAUCAAAGUUCAGUGAGAUUCCAAAACUUCAUGCAGACCCAAGUAGCAAGUUGGUCAUUAUGUAAAACUUGAAAUAUCAAAAUAGCGAGCAUAACAGUUCAUAAAAGUGAGCAAUAAUACUUCAAGUAGCAAAUAUCGAAAUGAGUGAGUGUAAAGUUUUUAAAAAGAAACAAUAACACUACAAGUAACAAUCAUUUCAAUGUAUAAGGAUACAGAUGACUCUCAAGAGUUAAAUUCCCGCUGCAUUAUUUGAUCUGAACCCGUUGAUACUCCAUCAACGUUUGAAGAAGCAAACCAUGACCGUAGAUCUCCACUUUACACUAAUUUCCAUCCACCAAUCAACCCUCUACCGGGCCCGAAAUUUAAAAUAAGAGUGGUGGUAAUAUUCGAGUAUACCGAAUCCAGUGGAUCAAAUUCAAAGGAUUAUACAAUAAACAAUAAACAGUAAACAGUAGUACCUAUAGUUCGCCAAUUUCCUCGACCAAACCCUUAUUGACUCGAUUCGACUGACUAACCAAUAGGGUGUGGAUCCAAGAAGUGAGACGGGAUGAGAGGCACCUCCCACUCGGAUUGAGUGUGGUACAUGCUACCGUUCAACACUUAUAAGUCAAGUAUAAGAUUUCGGGUAGUAUUCAAGUUGUAAACAUGUAUAUCAAGUCAAUAAUAACCAGUAAACAGUAAGAAAUCACAUUAGGGCAAGUGCGAUAAAGUAUACCCUUGCCCGUUCAAACAAGUCAAGUAUUUCUUUCAAAUAUCAAGUUAAAUCAUGUACUUGAAAACACUCACCAACAAUUUAUUGCAUUUUAAAACCACAUCCAAGGUCAACUCCUUGGUUGGAGUCCAAAUUUGUGAUAAAAUAUCAUUGGAUAGUUUGAAAGCAAUUAAGGUUCAAAUAUAUAAGAGUUUCGCUUAAUGAAAAGCAAAUAAAUGAAACUCAUUGAAGUAGUAUUCAUUUCACUUAUCAAACUCUAGAAAAUUCAUGCUCGCUCGUUUAGUUUCGAUAAAGAAGCAAUUAAAACGUUUAAAUUUGAAACUUAGUCUAAAAGACGAGGAAAACGUCUUUCUAGUUGUCACUACUUUCACCUUUCAAAGGGUACGAGUUUUGGUAAAAUUUCAACUUAUAUAUCUUUACUAAUGGAAACUUGAAUACCAUAGACAAUCCAAGUUCACUUCGACCUCAAAUCGUUGUUCAAGUUUCAAGUUCACUCGCUUAUCCUUUGGGCUAAAAUUUGGGCAGCAUUUCCCCUAUUUUUUUACUUUUCCCAUCCAAGUAUAACUUGGAUUCACAAGCCAACAAACCUCCAAUCCAAUCACAAGUGAUAACCAACAACAUACAUCUAUUCAAGGUCUCAAAACCAACCAAACAAACCAAAUAAUAAACUUAUCACCAUGUGUAAGGAUCGAAAACAACCAAUCGAAAAGCAAUUAAAAGAUCACAAAUGUAAUAAUAAAUAAAUAAAAAGGAAAGAAUUGCAAACCAAUUAACUACCCAACUCCCCUUGAGCUUGUAGGCUAAUUCAAACAAGCUACUUCAAGUUGAUGAAUUACAAUAACUCUUGUGUACAAAGGAAGGUUCACCUCCUUCUUGCCCCGAACUCCACUCGGUCAAGUCAGGACGUUUUACUAUCCCUCAGGACAACCCUCACAGAGCUACACUCAUGAAGUAUUCACUCACAAAUGAAAAGCUUACAAUGAACCUCACACCACUAAGACUACAAAUCUUCUUUGAAGAGUAUUUUCUCACUAAAAUCUCUCUAGAUCUUUUGUAUCUUUAGUGUGCAAAAGUUAUUUGAAAUAUCUGAUCAACCACUAUUUAUAUAGGACCAAGAAAGUGCCUUAUUAAUGCUUCCAACGGAUAGAAAGUAGCUGAAGAGUCAACUAGCCGUUGGAGUGUCGGACGUCCGAUAGCCCUGUUUUAUGCGUCCGACAGCAGGCAGAGAGUUUAAGAAUUUUUCUUCAAUUCUUUCGGACGUCCGGUAGGUUGGUUUUCUGCGUCCGAAGGUAUGAUGUAAAAUUAGAAAUUUUUCCUCAAUUCUUUCGGACGUCCGGUAGGCUGAUUUUCUGCGUCCGAAGUAUCGCAAUGAUUAUCAGACGUCCGAUCCUGACUUCUUGAGCGUCCGACAGUUUCAGCAUACUUUGUCUUCUUUCAAUUGCACUAGUUCGUGGAAUCAAAUGACUUCAUAACUGAAAGUAUAUCUUGAAGAAAUAUUAGUAUCAUCCAUUUGUUUUGUAAACAUCAAAAGAUAGGGACCAAGGCUAACAUUCUCCCCCUUUUUGAUGAUGACAAAACAAUGGAUGGAAAGAAACAAAAAUAAGUAUAAUUUCCCCCUCAAACAUCGCAUUCAAAACUUUUAAGAGCCAAACUCAUAAUUUCAAAAUAACUCCCCCUUACAUAUUGCAUCCAUUUCUCCCCCUUUUUGUCAUCAUAAAAUGAGAGUAAAAAUAUCAUAUCGAAAUUCAGCAACAAUAACAGAAAAUCCAAUAUUUCAAACAAAGACAGAGAAAUGAUACCAGAAUUCAUCAAUCACCAACAUACCAAUAUAUAAAAGCAAAUCAUCAUUAAAUCAGAAUUAUUUUUUUCUCUCCCUUUUUGACAUCAUAUAAAUUCAGUAAUAUUAAAAAAUAUCAAGAAAAAACUCAGUUCUAAGCCUAUUCACAUGUCUAACUAUUCACAUGCAUUUCAUGCCUUUUUUUAUAUUAUUUCUCACAUAGCAAUCAUUUUUUAUGUGACCUUUUUGACAACAGAAAUUACACAUAAUCAAAGAGUUAUUUACAUGAACAGGUUUAAUAAAUCUUGUCUUCUCUUAUAAAUAGCAAAUUCGUUAGAAUUAGAAUUCAACCUAUUCUUUUGAAAACAGACUUGUUUUUUGUGUUUAAACAACUCAUUUAGACCAUCCAUUCUUCUUUUCAAAUCAUCUUGUUUCUUUUUGAACAAUUCACAAAGUUUUGUUUUUCUAUCAAGCUCCAAAUGUAAAAUAGUCUCACUCUUUUUGAAGUAAUCAUUUUCAGCAAUCAACUUUUUAUUUUGUUGAAAAAGAUUUGCAUUAUCUCGAAACAAACACUAAUUUUCUAUUUUAACUCCUUGUUUCUAGUAUAGAAUUCUUUCAAACUAUCAUGCAAUUUUAUAAUAAAAGAUUCAAUAUCAUCAUCAGUUUCAUCAUCACUUUCAAAUUGAGAGUUAGAAGGUGUAAUCUCAUCAUCUCCAAUGGCCAUAAAAGCUAAUUGAGCAGAUUCUUCUUCUUCUUCAAUUUCACCAUCGGAGUUGCACUCAUUUCAUGUGAACUGGAAAUUGUUGAAUCUUGGUUUUCUUUCACUUUUCCUCUUCUUCAUUGGACACUCAUUUGCAUAGUGUCUAGAUUGGCCGCAUUCAAAGCAUUUGUUACUUGCUUUUUGUUGGCCUCAUAUCUUCCAUUAUUUCUUGCAUUGUUGAAUUGAUUAGAAUCUGAAUUGCUAGGUCCUCCUCUUCUAAAUCUCUUUUUGUUGAGAAUUCUCUUGAAACUUCUUGUGAUGAGAGCAAGGUCACUGUCAUCAACUUCCACAGCUUCUUCAUCUAGGGAGGCAGAAUCAUCUUCAUCUUGAGAUGCAUUUAGAGCAAUAUUCUUUCGCACUUUUGCAUCCUCUUUCUCUUGCAUCUUAGUCUUAAGUUUCAGCUCAUAAGAGGUUAGAGAAUUAAUAAGAGAUUCAAUAGUCAUAAUAUUCAAAUCUUUAACCUCCUCAAUAGCAGUCACUUUAUUUUCCCAAUCAUUGGACAAGGCAUUCAGGAUUUUUCUAUUUUUCUCACCUAGAGAAUAUUCUUUUUCCAGCACCUCUAAAUCUAUAAUAAGAUCAUUGAAUCUACAGUACAAAUGUUUUCAUGAGGUUCCAUCUUGAAGGAUUCAUACUUUGUAACUAGAAUGGACUUCUUUUGUUUUCUAACAUUCUCACUAACUUCAUGAAUUUCUCUCAGUUUAUCCCAAAUUUCCUUGGCUGCCUUGCACCCUUUGACUCUAAUAGAUUCAUUUGAGUCUAAAGCACAAUAUAACACAUUCAUGGCUUUUGCAUUUAAGGUGAGAUGAGCUCUAUCCACAGCAGUCAGUUCAUUUCUAGUUUUUGGUCUAGAUGUACGAGUAUUUUCAUUUAUAAGAGAGGCAUCAUAUGGACCUUCACUAAUAAUAAACCACAAUUCAAUAUCAACAGAUUACAAAAAGAUAACAUUCUUUCUUUCCAACUCAAAUAAUUUGACCCAUUAAACAUAGGUGGUCUAAUGACAGAAUGUCCUUAAAAAAACAUGGCAUUAUUGGUUGUCAUAUUUACUCCAAAACCGAUUGAAUUUAAUCUCUAGGAGACCAAACUCUGAUACCAAUUGUAAGGAACGAAAACAACCAAUCGAAAAGCCAAUCGAUAAGCAAUUAAAAGAUCACAAACGUAACAAUAAGUAAAUAAAAAGGAAAGAAUUGCAAACCAAUUAACUAUCCAACUCCUCUUGAGCUUGUAGGGUAAUUCAAACAAGCUACUUCAAGUUGAUGAAUUACAAUCACUCUUGUGUACAAAGGAAGGUUCACCUCCUCUUUGCCCCGAACUCCACUCGGUCAAGUCAGGACGUUUUACUAUCCCUCAGGACAACCCUCACAGAGUUACACUCAUGAAGUAUUCACUCACAAAUGAAAAGCUUACAAUGAACCUCACACCACUAAAACUACAAAUCUUCUUUGAAGAGUAUUUUUUCACUAAAAUUUCUCUAGAUCUUUUGUAUCUUCAGUGUGCAAAAGUUAUUUGAAAUAUCUGAUCAACCACUAUUUAUAUAGGACCAAGAAAGUGCCUUAUUAAUGCUUCCAACGGAUAGAAAGUAGUUGAAGAGUCAACUAGCCGUUGGAGUGUCGGACGUCCGAUAGCCCUGUUUUGUGCGUCCGACAGCAGGCAGAGAGUUUAAGAAUUUUUCUUCAAUUCUUUCGGACGUCCGGUAGAUUGGUUUUCUGCGUCCGAAGGUAUGAUGUAAAAUUGAAAAUUUUUCCUCAAUUCUUUCGGACGUCCAGUAGGCUGGUUUUCUGCGUCCGAAGUGUCGCAACGAUUAUCGGACGUCCGAUCCUGACUUCUUGAGCGUCCGACAGCUUCAGCAUACUUUGUCUUCUUUCAAUUGCAUUAGUUCGUGGAAUCAAAUGACUUCAUAACUGAAAGUAUAUCUUGAAAAAAUAUUAGUAUCAUCUAUUUGUUUUGUAAAUAUCAAAAGAUAGGAACCAAGGCUAACACCAUGGAUAUCAAAACUAGAAACCAGUUUAAAGAAGAAAUUAUAAGUAACAGAUUUGUCAUCCUUCAAUUUUUUGGUCAUAAUUAUAGCUAGGGAUAUCAGAUCGAAGUAAAUUUGAUGGCGUUUUGAAGCAAAGACAUAAGUCUACAACUUUGACACCGGAAUUAAACCCCUGUUCAAACAUUAUCAGGGUCAAAAUUGACAAAAAUAGAGACAUAAAAAUUCUGUCAGAGCCAAAACAGGAUAACUGAACAGUUUUGGUAAAAUAGUUGUAACUUGGUGUAGAAAAAGCGAAAUUGAGCUCUGUCAGCGGUGUUUAAAACUAGAUUCAUAGAGGUUUCCAAUGGUAUAAAAUUCAGGUUCUACUUCAUCUCCUACAACUACCGGCAAGCUCAGGAAAUUGACUAAAAUUCACUAUCAAAUGCUGAAAUUUUGCAUAUCAACCCUAAAACUAUUCAUCAAAGUUGGAAAUUCAACUUUCAACUCUAAAAAGUAACAAUCAUGCCACUAAUUACUUCACAAAUUCCAUUUCUAAGUUCAAUAACAACAUUUGCUAGUUAGACAUCAAUAAUCAAAGCUGAAAAUAUAAACCUUAGCUGAAAUUUCAUGAAUCACCACCAAACUAGAGUAUCCAAUAUUUUCUAGGAUUCAAAAUUUCUAUAGCAUAUUUAACAAGAUUAAGGUAAAACAAGAAGUAGAUGAACUUCAACCUUCCAAAAGUCUUCUUGAAAUUGAAGAACCAACCACUUUCUCCCAAGAUUUUCACCAUUCCUAGCUUCCUAAGUAUCAAGAGGUAAGUUUAAUCAGUUUGGUUUGUGUGAUCUCAACUCAAACAAUCAAAAUCAAGGUUGGAAUUGAAGGUUUCUUCUCUCUUUUUCUCUCCUAAAUUUCAUCCAACACAAGAGGAAAAUGAAGGAAACUUAGCCAAAAGGAAAGAUAAGAAGAAAGGAAAAUGUCUUGGUCGAACUUCCAUGGAUUGCCAACACUUGUCAUUUAAGAUCUUUUCUUCCUUUUCCUUAGUCAAUAAUGGUGGCUGAUUUAAGGGUUAAUUUAGGGAGAUUUAAGUGAAAUAGAAACAAGAAUAUUACGAUAAGAAAGUAGUAAUCAAGUUGUGUGCUCAAUCGGUAACAAACGAUGCACGUCGAUUCAAGUCUAUUUUCCUUAACUCUCGCGUACUUGUGUUUUAAUUGAUAAUUCACUAACUUAUUAAUAGCACUUCUAAUCACACACUUCCUCUUAUCUAAUACUCACUCUUAUCCACCAAAUUUAGUACAUACCUCACCAAGUUAUCACACGACCAAAGUGCACAAAACCCUAAUUUGCUCUAACUAUAAAAGUAAAAGUAAAACUCUCGAUUCUUUGAUUUAUUACCACUAUUGAGAGAGUAAAUUAGUAGUAAAGAAAUUAUAAAUUAACUUAUUCAAAAUAAGUGGGAAUUAUAAGAAAAAUAUAAGUGAAUUUUCAAGUCAUCACACAUUGGAUCUCAGUUUGAACCCUAUUGUUGGCAUUGGCCAACCUUCACCUCUCGUCCUCUAUAACUAGGACCACUCGAUCAGGGUAUGAGUAAGUCCUCCAACAGUUACAGUGUCUCACCUUGCGUCCCGAAACCCAAUGAUGAAUAGGUUCUCCUGGAUGUUUCUGGUAACCAAGCACUCAGUGAGACCGUUCAGGAUUCUCGUUCUCACUGUCUCCUUCCAUUUCCUAUAUUACAAGCAAGUAUCAAGAAAAUAAGAAAUUUAGACAAAUGAAACAAAGUUGGCCACCUAACACUCUAAGUUCUCAGACUUAGAUAUUCGUGCUUAAAUUGUCACAACUACUAGACACUCAAUUCAUCUAGAUCAAAUUCAAAUAUAAGCUCUGAUAUCACCUGUGACGACUCCACCUCCCCUCAGGGUGUACCCCAAGAUUUGGCGGACCGGUUGCCCAACUCUUAUCAAGUCUCACGCAUAAGUCCCAAUACAAUACAUGAAUCUCGAUAGCAAAAGCAAUAGCAAUUUCAAAACUUAAAUAUAUACAUUCGUGGUCAUCAAGUUCCCAUAUAGACCCAUAAUAUAACAAGAGAUUCAAACUCAAGUCAAAUCGCUAAAACUAAAAGAACACUAAAGCAAAAGACAAGGGAUCUAGACCAAAACGCUAGUUUUCUCCAACUCACACGCCCACAUUUUCGCUCCUUAUAAGAAAAAUAAAUUAAUGAAGUGAGCUAUCAGCCAGUAAGGUUCCAAGACAACAUGCAAAUGAAGUAGCAAGUUGGUAGUUACAUAUAUCCCAAUCUCAAACUAAACAAAGUAAACGUUCACAAGAUAAGUCAGUAACAUUUCAAGUAAACAACUCAGAUAAGCAAUUAACACUUUCAUGCAUAAGAAUAAGUUUGCUCUGGCGAGCUAGUUCAGCAGUAACUUGAUCAGGAUCCAUUGACACUCCGUCAAUCAGGGGAAUAUAGUAAUAAGUCCAGUAGAGCACCGCUUAUCUCCAAUCUCCGUUCACUAAUUAACCCCCUACCGGGUCUGAACUCCAAAGAUAAUAGUGAAGGUAAUACUCAAGUAUAGCAAAUUUAGUGGACCAAAUCCAGUGAAAUAAACAGUAAACAGUACCGAUGAUUCAUCAAUUUUCUCGACCAAAUCCUUGCUUGUUCGAUUCGAUUAACUAGCUGAUGGGAUUUAGGAUCCCAGGUAGUUACUUUCAAAUCAUGCACAUGAAUAUCAAUUCACUUACAAAACAGUACACAAUACGUUAGUCAAGUUAGAGCAAGUGCAAUAAAGUACAAACUCGCCCAACCAAACAAGUCAAGUAUUAUCGAAUCACAACAAGAGAACUUUUCAAUCAAGCGAAAAGUUCUAUCAUGCAAUUUAAAACCUUCACCAACCAAUUAAGGUCUAGCAACUUCAAGCUCAAACUCUGCCUCCUAGCUACUCUCGAAAUCUACGAUCAAAUAUCAUAUAGUAACAAGCUAUCAAACUUCCAACAUAGCGGUUCAAAAAUCACACCUUGUACAUGUGAAAACCAAUGGAAAAAUCACAUAAAUGCAGCUCACUUGUGACGCCCCCACUUCUCCCUAAAGCGAACCAAAGGGUAUCCGCGGGACGCCUGCUUAGCUCUCGCCAGGACUCAAGCAAUUCUAUUCAAGCUUAUUAUCGCUCUACCCAACACACGUAAAUAACUUAAAUACAGAAAAUACGAAAGCGUUCAAGCUUAACAAUAGUCAUCCAUUAUCCAGCCCGCACGUCGGGUGUUCAAAAUACAUCAUAAUUCCCAAAUAUACAUCACGCCCCAAAAGUUACAUUUCAAUUCCAAAAGUACAACCCAAAACCAAGGGCAUAGCCAAAAUAUAAUAGAAAUCCUAAACAAAAGCUCAUUAGGAGGGUUUCUCCAGUACGCCUCCGAGUUCAAACCUGUUAAGGAAAACAAAUCUAUAGGGUGAGCAAAACGCUCGUGAGGCCAAGAACACACAUGCAGGCACAUAGUUCAGGUAACAAACCCAAGUAACAGUUCAAGUGAUAACUUGCAAGUAAUUAACAAUGCUAACAAAAUGUAAACAGAAACGAUUCAAGGAUAUGGUAUCUCUCAGGAGCUAAGUUCCACUUGCUUUGCCAGUUCAUUCGUAUAUCUUCCCGUGAUGACUCUCCGUCAACCGGAUUGAUAUUUCCAAACCGUAGAUCACCACUUACUUCCCAACCGUCCACCAUACACCGCUUCAGGCCCGCACGACAUUUAUGAGGCGAUACUCCACGAGUAUGCCAAGUAAGAUCUCUCCAAUAGAUCAAGCUUAUCAUGUGAAUCUCAUGACUCACCGAGGUUCCCGACCAAGCCCAUGCUGGCUCGAGUUCCAAGGUCGGCCUAUGAGUUUGGGCGUCCCCCAUGUGUCAUGUAAGUGUCGAGGAGAUUCACUCCAACGACGUAUGCAGCCAUAGCAUACCAUGUCAUAUAUUCAAGCAUUUGACAGGUCUAAGCAUGUAUUUCAGGUCAUGUAAAUCAGGCAAAUCAUGUUAAGCAUGAGUCAUUUAUUUUCAAAUGAGAACGAGUGCGAUAAAAUACACACUCGACUCCAUUUUCAAAAGAAAAUCAAGUAGGUUAAGCAUGUAAUCAAAUCCAUAGAGUUCAAGUAGUCAAACACUUGACACUCACCAAGUUACGCAAGCAAGCAGGUUGGAUUGAGUGUUCAAACAUCCACGGUAGGGUCCUCUUGGAGGUCCUCGUGCGUGCCUGAACAUCGAAUAGAAGACCAUUACUAUAGGUCCCUAAGAGACGAGGAGAUCGAACACAAAUGUGGUCUGGAAAUAUUUUGGAAAUUUCGUUUGAAUUUGUCUUUGAAGUUGGAUUCGUAAAAAGGUACUAGACUCGAGUAAUAUCGGAUUAUUAUUCCUGAAAUCAUUGGAUGGAAACGAGUAUGCGGGAAUAAAUCUCAAAAUGAAUGACCGAAGUUGAAAGUGGACUGGCCACGUCACAAUCCGGCCGGAAUCUGGGCGGAUAUCUGGCCGAAUUGGAGGCAGUAGCCAUCCUCAUUUUUUCAAAUCCCAACUACAAUCCGGGCUUCUAUCCGGCCAGAAACUGGCCGGAUUCAAGGCCGGAUUCUAGAAAAAUGCUUUCCGCGCGGAUUUAUUUUGAAAUUUCAGAAUUCUCGAUUUUUUGGUAAAAUCUUUGAAAAAUCAUAAUUUCUUUUCUACUAGUCAAAAAUUGAUAAACUUGGUAUCGUUGGAAUCGUUUUUGAAGGUACUAAAAGUACCUAGAAGACACCGUUCCAUGAAUCUAAAUGGAAGGUAUUAAAAAAUGAGUUUAAAAUUACUGUUCCGGAUCACCCAGGAUUGAGCCGGGGUUGGUUUUUCGCUAGCUUUGGAAAUUCGACAGAAUUCACUCGUUGCAAACCAGCCCUUGAAAUUUAUAUCUCAAUUAGAGAUGCAAGUAAGGUUUAGGGCAGAACAAGCAGAUCGAGAAUCGGAGUUUCGACCACAAAGAUGGAAAAAAUUCAAGACUGUUGAACAAUUUCCAGAUUUGGGUUUACGACUUUGGACCUUUAGUUAAGUGUCGAAACGGACAUGGAUUGGUACCAAAUUUUGCAGUAUAGUACUCCUAUAUGAAGGGUAUUUCUCUAUCAAAUUUUAUGGAAAAAUACCUUCGGGAAGGUGGUUAACCAAUCAACCAAAGUUUUCAAAUUACUAAGGCAAAACUGCCUUUAGCUCCCUUUCUCUCCGUUUCCAAACAUUCGGCUAAGGAAAACCUCCAAACAUGGUUCAUUUGUGCAAAAAAAGUCUAAGAAACAUUCAUUGUACAUUUGGUAGGUAUUUAGUACCAAUAAAUUCAUAUAGUAAGACCACAACAAGUCUCACAUCAAAUCUGUCUAAAUCCAAGGUUUUCAAGAACAAGGCAGUCACCAUAUUUUGAUCAUAACUCACUCAAUUUAACUCGGAUUUGAGCAUAGUUGAUAGUGUUAGAAACUACAGUCAUAGGGAUAUAAUUUCACAGAAGAAAUCAUUUUAAGAUUCAGCAUGCAACUGGCUCGAAAUUAAGCCUAAAGUUGCAGCAUCAUCAAAUCAUUCCAACGGAACAGAGAAACAGAACAGCUGAAUUCAGAAGAGUCGUGCGGCUCACACACAUGGAACUAGAAUGUGAAUUUUACACCGUUGGAAAGGUGUGGACGUCUAGUUUCUAAUGCCAUGAACGGCACUCGAUUUGAACAUCGGAGGACAAAGUUACGGCCGAAAUACGAACACUGGUCUGGUCAUUACGAAAACAGUUUCCAGAUUACUAGCUUUGGGAAAUAAAUUCAUUUGACCAACCAAAACUCAAUAUUUUUCAAUGAAAAUUUUUAUACAACUACUACAACAUGUAAACAACACAGUCAAGCCAUUAAAUUCUCAAAUUUUUGCAUUAAAGUGGCCGAACAAAAUAGGGGUAAAAUGGUCAGAUUUGGCCUUUGCACCCGUCAUGAGUUUCCAUCAAUUUUCCACCAAUAAUCCACUAGUUUAAGCACUAAUCUAACAUUAUAGACAUCAUCAAGCAUGAAAUUAGCCAUCAACACAGAGGUGGGAGUUCAUAGAGCCCACCAUCAAAAUUUUCCAACAAUACUAGCUACCCAUGUGAAGAUUCAAGCUCAUAUAUAUAAUUUAACCUCCAUAGGACAAGUUUAAGGUAUUGGAUCAUUACCUACUUUGAUGGUUGGUCAAGUCAGAAUUUUCGGCCCUUUGAAGCCUGAAGAAAACCGUGGAGAGCUCCUUUCUUUUGCAGCUAGAUGGACUUCCCAAGUGUAGAGUUAAGUGUAGUUAAAUUUUGGUUGAAUUUGGUGGAGGUUUGAGCAAGAUUUGGAGGUGAAAUUUGCAAAAUUUGAAGGUGUUUUGCUUCAGCUGUUGCUCGGCCAGAAUGAGAGGAAAAGAGGGAUGUUUUGAUCUGAUUCCUUUGCGUACAAAUGAAGUUUGACGUCUAAUAUUUUAAGGGCACAAAAAUCAACCGCAAAAGGUGCGUAUACGCGCGCGUUUUGUGCUCGAUUCCUCUUAAGUUUGUUGCACUAGUGCACUAAACCUCUAGGGCACUUACAUUCAUAUAAAUAUUAUUCAUUCUUAAUUGUCCCAACAUAAUGGUUCAAAGUCCCUCAAUUAAGCGCGCACGUGAAAACACGUAUUUCCAAUUUAGGCGCAAUAAAAUGAAACCUUCGAGAAAUUCUUAUAACAAUCGUACCACUAACUAUCACUUGAGUAUUUAAACCUAAAUUUACCUAUUUUAGGAUCAUUGUAUAUGUCUCAAAUUUUCGAGCUUAUUGUAUUCCCAAUUGGCUAAAGUGUUUGGACACGUUUUCACCUUUUCACUAAACAAGCUUAUAAGAAAAUAAUUUUUGAAACGAGACACUUUAAAAAUAUAACGAAACUAUAAAACCAUGUACUUAGAUCUAAUAAGGUUAGAAAAUAAUAUUCGUGGUAAAAAUCCAAAUAAAUAAUUAAUUGAGCCAAAAUUAGGGGUUUUAAAAAUAAUAAUUUUACGAGUCCUCACGUGAAUUGAGUAUUAAUUCCUCCUUUAAUCUUUCUUAAUCUAUUAUUGAUCGUUCUUAAUUCUCCAAUAUUAAUACACUCCCGAUUCAAGUAUAGCCUAGAAAAACGUGCACCCGUCGUUCCGGACUAAACAAAUUUUCGAAAAGCGAAUUUUUCAACAAAACGCUUUAAAAAUAUAAAGUGGCGUCGUUCCAUAUACAUGGAUUUAAAAUGGUCGAAAUAAAUAAUUUGAAGAAAAUAGGUGAAUAAUCAUUUAAAUAUUCCAGUAAUAUUCUAUAAAAAUAAGAAAAUUUUCGGGUUCUCACAUCCUCCCCUCCUUGAAAGGAAUUUCGUGUUCGAAAUUCAUACUUAGAACAGUAUCAUUCCCUUCAUGGUUAAGCCUAUCAGAUCAAUCAUUGACUUACGUUUUCCAACUCACUCCAAAUCAUGAGUUGAUUACUUUCUUCCGGGAGAUUUUAACUUUCAGAAGGCAUAUACAAUCACCUCAUUAUAUAUUAUUAAUAUAUAUUCUAAACCAUCCUUUGAACCAUCUGUAUAAAUCAUAAAAUCACCUUAUCCGCUCGGUAAAGCCAACACAAGUGCACUGGUUAAACGAUUUUCACCUUCAAAUUCUUCCUCACAUUUAAAAUCUCAAAUAACUUGCCAAGUCUCGUAUCCUUAGAAGUCCCUGAUCAAACCAAGGUAAUAUUCGACUACCUCUAAGAACUCCAAAUUUCGGUAGGUUUUUCUAGUCAUUUCCUCUUAAACAGCUUCCACUUAAGCUGAGUUAACAAUAAUUUCUUCCUUAGAUAUUAUAUAACUUAAAAAGGUUAUUUCUUCCCAUCGAACUCACAUUUAUUGAAUUUAACAAAAGUUAGCGUUCUUUCGGGGUUUGUAAAACUACCAUUAGGUAUUUUUUUCAUGAUCUUCUCAAACUUUAGGGUAUAUCAAUACAUCAUCAAUAAAUGCCAUCACAGAUUAAUCCUAUUACGAUUUAAAACCUUGAUGCAUUAAUGCAAUAAUUGCUGCUAAUACAUUAGUCAACCCAAUUGGCAUAACUGAAAAUUCAAGCAUCCCCAUCUUGAAUUGGAAGUGGUUUUAAGCACAUCAGUUUCUAGGAUUUCCGGUUGGUAGUAACUCUAUUUUAAAUCCCUUAUUCGCUGCUCCUGACCCUUGAUUAUAAUUCUCGUUUAUGUGAGGUUAUGGAGCAUUUGUUCUUAAUAGUCUCAUUGUUCAAAUCUCAAUAAUCUAUGUAUAUAUAGCCUCAAGCGUCCAUUCCAAAUAUAACAUCCGGUCCCUAAUCGUUAGGCUCAUUCAAGCCAUCAAAUAUUUCCUUUCACUCACCCAAAUCUCACAACUUUUAAUAUCUCAAAUUGGCGAUUAAACAUUGGAUCCCAUCUUCAACCCUAAGUUCUCGACUUUUUUUUUUCUUCCCAGAAUUCAACCAAUUUAGUUUGGAAUUCCAACUCCUUGUGAAGAAUUUCUAUUUCUAUACGCAUCUCUUCCAAACUUUUCAUUCAUCCAUUUUCUUAAUCCUGACUGUUAGCCUAUCAACAGCUCAAGCAUCUAAAUAAGUAGCAAAUCAGAAUUUGAAGCUCAACUAUCCACAACCUGUAAAUUCUCACGCAUCUAAGUCAUCCAGGUAUAUUUACUCUUCCCUCUCCUCGAAUGAUACUUAAGAAAAUCCACACACACGACUAAAGUAAUACCUCUUGAUAUAAUGAUAUGUACUUCCAUUCUAAGGUCUUACUCCCGUGUGUAGUGAAACCAUAAAUUACACGCCAUAUGAAACAAGUUCCAAAUCCUAACAAAAAAACUGUUACGCACUAGUAGGACCAAAAUCCCUUUCCUCAAAAUUUUGUCUAAAUCAAACCAAUCAUGACUUACAAGAUAAGGUCAAGACUUUUGAUGUAUUUUGAUUGUAUCUGUGGCAAAAUACAAUUCAAAAUUUUUAAAAUUAGGGUUAAAGGUACAAAUUUUCUUCACGAUCCAAAACUAAAUUUUCUUAGUAAGAGAUUUCAAAUAAUGUUUAACCACAAUCAUCAAUACAUAUUUAAAAUCUCUCAAAUAGAUUUAAGAAUAUUAAUCAUGCAACUUAAUGCAUGAUUUUUAAAACAUAUACAUAAUAAUUAUAACAUAUACAUGGAGGGUGUUCCAACACUUUUCCUCAAAGUUUCGAGUUAAAUCUAUGUUCGAGUAAGGCGUAUAUUUUAGAAAAUACUUUUAAGAAAGAUACGUAAACAUGUAGGCUCAUAUUCGCAUAACCUGUGAUCCAAUACCUUUACCACCCUUUUAUCCAACCAAGAGUUAACUCUACUGGUACAUAAAAUCCGAUCAUUUCUAAUCUCUGAUUCAUAACAAAUAGGCAUUCAUGUUCCUAAGAAAGAUUCGAACUUGAACUCUAUCUGAUUUCGAGUCUCAAACGAGUUCAAAAUGUGUAUACAUAUAUAUAUAUAUACAUACAUAUAUAAAUUUUGUGAAAAGUAAAACAAGUGAAUCUGGGUAUAGGAUUAGUCAAGUAAAAUUGAAAGCGCUUUUGUUCAAGUAGAACAAAUUGGUAAUGAGUUCAAGUCAUCUCACCGAACCCACGAAAUACUUUUGAAGUUUAAACUUUCACAAAAGUUGAAAUAUGGCCACAGGACCAAUCAUAAUAUACGUAUAAAGCAGCUAUUAAAAUUUCACACAGGAAAAUCUCACUAAGUUCCCAACUAGGUUAAUCCAUUAUACACUGGUAGAUCUAAUCUUCUGAUUUAUUUUCGAUUCAUAUUCAGUACUAGGAUCUCAUUAAAUUAUAUAAGACUAUCCAUCAAUUUUUCUCACGAGUACAGGGUUGUCUAAGCCCUCGGUUACAACCCCUUUUUCCUAUUCCUACUACCAUACUUAAUAGGAGUCUAUAAGCGCAAGAAAAGGAAUAAUUAAUCAUAAAAGAACUUAAUGCAUAUACAAGUUGCAAAAAUAUUUAGAAUCAAGACAUGAUUCUUUACAUGUAUCGAAGGUUAUAGUACGAGUUAAGAAGUCACAAAACAAGCCCAAUAUGUCAAAUACUGUAUAUAGGCAAUUAAGGGUCACAAAAUGUAGAAGUAUAUGCAAGCGGAAUACAAAAGGUCUCACGGUGUGCACCACCCUUCCUAAGUCCUUAAUUAAACCAAUGGGUCCGAAUAUCACUAAUUCCAAUCAGAUCACUUGCCUUUACGAAAUUAGAUCCAAUCAAACCAUAACACAAGCAGAAACCAAAGGUUAUCCAUUCGAAGUUCAAAAUCUUUAAUAAGCAAGCCACCAACCAGAGCACCAUCAUCUCCAAGAAUAACCAGUCUUAGGGUUUUAUAGUUAAAGUCUCAAGCUCCAAGUUCAAACCCAAGAAAUAAGUACAACUUGCUAACUUACGUGUCAAAUGGAAACCAAAUCAAUUCACACUAACUGCGUGUUCUUGAAUGCGAUUACUCUAUAUUUCAAAGUUCCCUCAAUCCGUACACCUAAAGAUAGGCUCACCCUUCUUGAAAACCAAGAAUUUUAAAACAUAAGAAGAGUAUUUAAAGUAACAAAAAUAUUACCAAGUUCAAGAUUUUCAUUAUAAAAACAUAAGUCCGCCGUUCUUCCGAAAACUCAAGAUAUUAUUAUUAUUAUUAUUAUUAUUAUUAUUAUUAUUAUUAUUAUUUGUAAAGUAUAGACGAAUUCAAGUGUGAGAAUACACCAGUAUACAAUCAAGGGGGAAAAUCUAGUUUAGAAAAUUUUAACCUUGUAUCAGCCCAUCACAUACAAAAUUUCAACAAACUCAUCAAUUAUUCACAAAUUUUUAAAUUGAAAUUCAAGUAAAAUUCACAUAUUUACCAAAAUUGAAGAAUUACACAUACUUAAAGCAUAUAUAUAUUAUUUCCAAUCAUCGUUUGAAAAUAAAAUUAGUACAUCCUCAUUUUUUCUUUAGAAUUUCAAAGCAUAAAUUCUCUAGGAGGUAAAUGAGCAGGAAAAUGCAUUUUAUUCAUUUGAAACUCUUUUAUCUGGGUUCACAAUCACGAUACAUGGAGUUUGACCAUCAAAUCUCGGUCUCUUAUCCUCUUUAGCCAGCACUAAUAAUUGCCUCACUUUUUUCCACACUUACAAGUAUAAUAAUAAUUCAAAUUCAUCCAAUCUUUCACUACUAAUUUCUCAUCCCAUAUUUUCCUUCAAUAUAACAUCAGCUAAUUCCUCAAUUUUUAUUUCUACAAGUCCCAAGUAAGAAACUCUCAAGUAACCAAUUUCUUUAACCCGUAGGAUACAAUAGAUCCUCUAGUUCACAUAAUAUUCAAAUUAAUCCCACAGUCAGGCAUCCUAAACUUUAAACCUAGGAUACACUACAAGAUCUAAAGCCUAUACUCUGAUACCAACUGUGACGCCCCCACUUCUCCCUAAGGCGAACCAAAGGGUAUCCGCGGGACGCCUGCUUAGCACUCGCCAGGACUCAAGCAAUUCCAUUCAAGCUUAUUAUCGCUCUACCCAACACCCGUAAAUAACUUAAAUACAGAAAAUGCGAAAGCGUUCAAGUUUAAUAAUAGUCAUCCAUUAUCCAACCCGCACGUCGGGUGUUCAAAGUACAUCAUAAUUCCCAAAUAUACAUCACGUCCCAAAAGUUACAUUUCAAUUCCAAAAGUACAACCCAAAACCAAGGGCAUAGCCAAAAUAUAAUAGAAAUCCUAAACAAAAGCUCAUCAGGAAGGUUUCUCCAGUACGCCUCCGAGUUCAAACCUGUUAAGGAAAACAAAUCUAUAGGUUGAGCAAAACGCUCGUGAGGCCAAGAACACACAUGCAGGCACAUAGUUCAGGUAACAAGCCCAAGUAACAGUUCAAGUGAUAACUUGCAAGUAAUUAACAAUGCCAACAAAAUGUAAACAGAAACGAUUCAAGGAUAUGAUAGCUCUCAGGAGCUAAGUUCCACUUGAUUUGCUAGUUCAUUCGUAUAUCUUCCCGUGAUGACUCUCCGUCAAUCGGGUUGAUAUUUUCAAACCGUAGAUCACCACUUACUUCUCAACCAUCCACCAUACACCGCUUCGGGCCCGCACGACAUUUAUGAGGCGAUACUCCACGAGUAUGCCAAGCAAGAUCUCUCCAAUAGAUCAACCUUAUCAUGUGAAUCUCAUGGCUCACCGAGGUUCCCGACCAAGCCCAUGCCGGCUCGAGUUCCAAGGUCGGCCUAUGAGUUUGGGCGUCCCCCAUGUGCCAUGUAAGUGUCGAGGAGAUUCACUCAAACGACGUAUGCAGCCAUAGUAUACCAUGUCAUAUAUUCAAGCAUUUGACAGGUCUAAGCAUGUAUUUCAGGUCAUAUAAAUCAGGCAAACCAUGUUAAGCAUGAGUCAUUUGUUUUCAAAUGAGAACGAGUGCGAUAAAGUACACACUCGACUCCAUUUUCAAAAGAAAAUCAAGUAGGCUAAGCAUGUAAUCAAAUCCAUAGAGUUCAAGUAGUCAAACACUUGACACUCACCAAGUUACGCAAGCAAGCAGGUUAGAUUGAGUGUUCAAACAUCCACGGUAGGGUCCUCUUGGAGGUCCUCGUGCGUGCUUGAACAUCGAAUAGAAGACCAUUACUAUAAGUCCCUAAAAGACGAGGAGAUCGAACACAAAUGUGGUCUGGAAAUAUUUUGGAAAUUUCGUUUGAGUUUGUCUUUGAAGUUGGAUUCGUAAAAAGGUACGAGACUCGAGUAAUAUCGGAUUAUUAUUCCUGAAAUCAUUGGAUGGAAACGAGUACGUGCGAAUAAAUCUCAAAACAAACGACCGAAAUUGAAAGUGGACUGGCCACGUCACAAUCCGGCUGGAUUGGAGGCAGUAGCCAUCGUCAUUUUUUCAAAUCCCAACUACAAUCCGGCCGCCUAUCCGGCCAGAAACUGGCUGAAUUCAAGGCCGGAUUCUAGAAAAAUGCUUCCCGCGCGGAUUUCUUUUGAAAUUCCAGAAUUCUCGAUUUUUUGGUAAAAUCUUUGAAAAAUCAUAACUUCUUUUCUACUAGUUAAAAAUUGUUAAAAUUGGUACCAUUAGAAUUGUUUUUGAAAGUACUAAAAGUUCUUAGAAGACACCGUUCCAAGAAUCUAAAUGAAAGGUAUUCAAAAAUGAGUUUAAAGUUGCUGUUCCGGAUCACCCAGGAUUGAGCCGGGGUUGGUUUUUCGCUAACUUUGAAAAUUCGGCAGAAUUCACUCGUUGCAAACCAGCCCUUGAAAUUUAUAAAUCAAAUAGAGAUGCAAGUAAGGUUUAGGACGGAACAAGCGGAUCGAGAAUCGGAGUUUCGAGCACCAAGAUAUGGUAGCUCAAAGUUGGGAAAAAUUCAAGACUGUUAAACAAUUUCCAGAUUUGGGUUUCCGACUUUGGACCUUUAGUUAAGUGUCGAAACGGACUUGGAUUGGUACCAAAUUUGGCAGUAUAGUACUCCUAUAUGAAGGGUAUUUCUUUAUCAAAUUUCGUAGAAAAAUACCUUCGGGAAGGUGGUUAACCAAUCAACUAAAAUUUUGAAAUUACUAAGGCAAAACUGCCUUUAGCUCCCUUUCUCUCCGUUUCCAAACAUUCGGCUAAGGUAAACCUCCAAACAUGGUUCAUUUAUGCAAGAAAAGUCUAAGAAACAUUCAUGGUACAUUGGUAGGUGUUUAGCAUCAAGAAAUUCAUUUAGUAAGACCACAACAAGUCUCACAUAAAAUCUGUCUAAAUCCAAGGUUUUCAAGAACAAGGCAAUCACCGUAUUUUGAUAAUAAAUCACUCAAUUUAACUCGGAUUUGAGCAUGGUUGAUAGUGUUAGAAACUAAAUUCAUAGGGCUAUAAUUUCACAGAAGAAAUUAUUUUAAGAUUCAGUAUGCAACGGGCUCGAAAUUAAGCCUAAAGUUGCAGCAUCAUCAAAUCGUUCCAACGGAACAGAGAAACAGAACAGCUGAAUUCAGAAGAGUGAUGCGGCUCACACACAUGGAACCAGAAUGUGAAUUUUACACCGCUGGAAAGGUGUGGAUGUCUAGUUUCAAAUGCCACCAACAGCACUCGAUUUCGACAUCGGAGGACAAAGUUACGGCCGAAAUACAAACACUGGUCUGGUCAUUACGAAAACAGUUUCCAGAUUACUAGCUUUGGGAAAUAAAUUCAUUUGACCAACCAAAACUCAAUAUUUUUCGAUUACAAUUUUUAUACAACUACUACAACAUGUAAACAACACAAUCAAGCCAUUAAAUUCUCAAAUUUCUGCAUUAAAGUGGCAGAACAAAACAGGGGCAAAAUGGUCAGAUUUGGCCUUUGCACCCGUCAUGAGUUUCCAUCAAUUUUCCACCAAUAAUCCACUAGUUUAAGCACUAAUCUAACAUUAUAGACAUCAUCAAGCAUGAAAUUAGCCAUCAACACAGAGGUGGGAGUUCAUAGAGCCCACCAUCAAAAUUUUCCAACAAUACUAGCUACCCAUGUGAAGAUUCAAGCUCAUAUGUAUAAUUUAACCUCCAUAGGUCAAGUUUAAGAUAUUAGAUCAUUACCUACUUUGAUGGUUGGUCAAGUCAGAAUUUUCGGCCCUUUGAAGCCUGAAGAAAACCGUGGAGAGCUCCUUUCUUUUGCAGCUAGAUGGACUUCCCAAGUGUUGAGUUAAGUGUAGUUAAAUUUUGGUUAAAUUUGGUGGAGGUUUGAGCAAGAUUUGGAGGUGAAAUUUGCAAAAUUUGAAGGUGUUUUGCUUCAGCUGUUGCUCGGCCAGAAUGAGAGGAAAAGAGGGAUGUUUUGAUCUGAUUCCUUUGCGU
rnacentral:lncRNA from 1 species